CGAAAAGGCUCACCGAUCUAUUACUAAUCAUCAGAUGCAGAUGCAGUACAAAGAGUAAAAGUAAUAAAAUUACAAGUAGGUUUUCGGACCACCUAACAACAGCAACAAGCACUAAAACGAACCGAAGGCAGGACACCGUCCUUGCCCCUCCAUCAAUGGAGCCGGGCAGAGCUUGCCAAAAGAUUGCUUGUGGUAAUGGAUGAUGUCGUAAUAGUCGUGCUAAGGUCACAAAAAACCAACGCACCAGAGUCGCAACCAUUGCCAAAGAUGAGAACCGUAUAUCAGAAGACCUAGAGCUAAAACCAUACGAACAAACGCAAAAGCCGACCGAAACCGCCAACGAUCUGAAAUCAUAUGGAUGCCAAAGCCAAAGAGAACCAACGAAGAUUGCUAUCUCUUUCUGGUAUCCCCAAUAUUUCUUUAUCUAUACCAAGAUUAACUGCAAGGUCAGAUGAUGCUUAAAUUAUUAUUAUUUUUCGUUCUUGAGAACAUGCUUACAAUUGUCGCUGUUAGGAAAAUAUAGGAUUUUUUUUAUAAAAAAGAGGAAAAUAUAGGAUUGGACUAUUGGAGGGAAUACUUUUUUGGACUUGUUCAAACUUCGUGCCUGAGCUCGGAUGGCCCGCUAUGUAAGUCCAUAUUUCACUCUCGAAUGUAUCUCUUGGGACAGAUAACCUCCUGAAAUCUAAAACCAUCUAAUUUACACCUCAAAUCUAAAAUACCAAAUAGAUCACCCCAUUAGGUGGUUUUAGUGCUGACGUGGUGAAUUUAGAACGGUUUUGACCAAGCUUUUGACCGACAACGUGGAACUGGCAGAGGGAACAAAACUUACAGAGAUGCGGUCGUUGAGCUUCUUGCGGCGGCGGCGCUCGGCGACGAGGUUUAGCUGUCUUCUGGCCAGUUAAUUACUUAAUUUCCUGCCUAUAAAUAACGGCCAUUCGUGACAAGAGGAUUCCACAGCACAUCACCACUACUACAAAAACGUUUAUCAAUAACGGUAAAAAAUGGUUAUCAGUAACGGGCAGACCGCCCGUCACUAAUGUGGGGUACUGGGGUACAUCAGCGACGGGACGGGCGGUCAGCCCGUUGCUGAUGUUAUGCACAUAGUGGCAUGUUCUUGUAGGGACCGACACUAAUAUCAUUUUUCACAUUUAAAAAAAAGGCUGGGCAUUGGCCCAGCCCGCACGUUUCCCGUCGCCACGCCCAUGCCUCAGGAGCAGGCAUCCCUGCACGUUCCCCGUCGCCGGCAUCUGCAGGCAGCCCAAAACUCGGAGAUCUCCCCGGCCAACAACGAAUCGAUGAAUAGAGAUGAUCGAACACACAACAUGGACACAAAUCAGAUCAAGAACCCUAGCUCGCUGCCCAAACACACAAAUCGAACACACAAACGAAUCCGCGAUCAAGAACACACAAAUCGAACACAUAGAUCGGAUCCGCGACGGGGAGGUGGAGACGCCGCCGCUGCUCGUUGAAGAUAGGCCGGAUCCGGGGGCCUCCGGCCCGGAUCCGCGACGGGGAGGUGGAGAUGCCGCCGCCGCUCGUUGAAGAUAGGCCGGAUCCGGGGGCCUCCGGCCCGGAUCCGCGACGGGGAGGUGGAGAUGCCGCCGCCGCUCGCUGAAGAUAGGCCGGAUCCGGUGGCCUCCGACCCGGAUCGGCGACGGGGAGGUGGAGAUGCCGCCGCCGCUUGCUGCAGACGUCGCCGCCGCUCUGGGGAGGGAGGAGGAGAACCGGGUGCGCUGGGAGAGAGAGGAGCACGGCACGGCAACUGCUCGGGCUGGGAGAGAGGAGGGAGAAGAAAGGAGAGGGAGAGAUGGAUGCGUGUGGAUUGGGGAGAGGAAGGAGGAGAAAUCGGGCAAAAGUGAGGGAGGGAGGUGGCGGCAGCAGGGAGAAAGAGAGGCAGGAGGGGGGUUAGGGCUAGGCUGUAUUAUAUACGCAAUGGGGUUGGCUCAUGAGUGGCGGGUUCAAGAUUUUUAGAACUUUGUUAUUUUUCGCAUUGAAUCAUUAGUGACGGGCCUUCCGGACCCGUUACUGAUGAUUGGUCAUCAGUGACGGGCGUGGACGCGAACGUCACUGAUGCCUCGUCACAUAUGCACCGUUUUGUAGUAGUGCACCACGAAGAAGGACAAUGGUGAGCAGAACCGCCGCUGGUGCGGCACCAAUAAUCCUAACAACGACCAUGGCAACCAUGCUAAUAUUGCUACGAUCUCCCCAGCAGUAGCAGCAGUCCUCUCACCCAACUUCCACUGCGACUCAUGCCCGCAGCUGGAGUCUAUCGUGCUCGCCGCACUCGACAAAGGAACCGCGGCCCCUAUGAAUCUCUUCGUCAACGUUGCAGCCCUGCAGCUCUGUUGGUCAUCGCCGGUCGUGAACUGCUCGCUGCUCCCGGCCGCGAACUGCAACUCUCUUGCGACAGGGACGAGGAGCCGUGUCUUCUCUUCAUCGCCGGCAGGCUCCUGCGCCCGCACCAAGUCGCUCGAGUAGCUCCGCUAAAUCGGCUGGUUUGGCAACAACAUCUGUGCUUGCAUCCGCUUGACCAAAUCGAUCAAUCAAUCGCCUGAAUCUUUCGGGUAAGCAUCAAAACCACUCUAAAUUUGACACGUCAGCACCAAAACCACUUAACGGGGUGAUUUAUCUGGUAUUUCAGAUUUAAGGGUUUAAAUUAAACGGUUUUGAAUUUCGGAGGCUUAUGCGUGCAUUUUUUCUAAGUCUUUUCGCAAUGUAAGGCGCGCCGGCUCUGGCGCGGAGCGAUUUGCUCUGGCUGCUCCCGCGGAGAAAAGUCAGGCGGCUGCAUGCAGCGGACUCUGGUUGCAUGCAUGCACGGGGCAUUGAUUUUUUUUUUCUUGCACAAUUGCAUGCAGGAGAUCUAGUCCAUGCAUGGGCAUAAAAUCAGACUCCGUUACUAAUUGCUACCGGCUUGCUUGGCGUUAAUAUUCGUGCAGAAUAAUACACGUCCUAUAUUAAAAAAACAGAGGGACUACAUUUUUUAAGGAUGAAAUAUGAACUUCUAGACCUGGGGCUGCUGGGGCAGACCAAAGGGCUUUACGACCAGAAAAUCGGGCGGGGUUACCCAUCAAACGGCCCACCCCAGAACGAGCCACGGUGCGGCCCCGACGCGCAACGCACAGCAGGCCCAUCAAACUUGUGGUCUCAAAAAAAAAAAACAGGCCCAUCAAACGGCGUACCUAGAAACCGACUUGGAGCCGGAGUCGGACUCGGCGUGCAGCUCCCGUGCCCUACGUCCGCCGUCAAUAAAAUCCCCCCCACGCAAUUACGCAACGCACGCAGAACACUAAAUCUGUAACCCGGCGCCGCAAGCAAGCAAGAAGCAACCUCGCGCGCGAGAUCGAUCCACCGAUGGCGUCCGAUUCCGCGACCGCGCCGCCCGACGCCGUAGUUCGCAGCAGCAGCGGCAGCAAGAAGAAGGCCGACGACUGGUCAUCCUCGAUGCGAUUGCGACGAGUACUACUCCUGCAGAAGAAAAGGCUGCGACGAUGGCGGCAGCGAUCAAGGACCAUCUUCUCUCCGCCGCCGCGAAGGGAGAUCGAGAAGGCAGCGGCGGAGCAGAGCAUGGAGGCGAAGCUGGCGGCCACGAAGCGCAAGCUGCGCGAAGGGUACCAGCGAUGCGCGGAGGCGAAGCGGCGGCGCAGGCUGCUGGUGAUCGAGGCGACGGUUGCGAUGACCUGCUGCGCGGAGUUUGAUCUGUGCGAUUUCGACUGCGAGUGAUUUGUUCUGCUUCGCAUUUGUGUAAUGUGGUGACUGACGAUCGACGACACUAGUUCAGGUUCAAGUCUGUUACAGCGGUGUCCUCUUUUGUUUCUCUUUACAAAGAUCUCCACAUUGUCACUUUGGAACCACGAGCUAUCCGAUGUAAUUUUGCAACCACGUCGUUGUUCCUUGGUAGUCGGUGUUUUGUAUACUUUUGUGAUCUGGUUUUUAAGUCUGUCUCUAGUCGUUGUUCCUUUUCAUUAAGCGUCGCGACCAAACGCAAGCUGUGCGAGGGGGUACCAGGAAAGCGCGGACGCGAAAUGGCAGCGCAAGAUGCAGGUGAUCCAGGCGCCGGAGAACGCCAGGCAGCGGCGGCCGCACUCCGUCUUCCGGAUGCGCUGCGAGGUCCGGUGCUUGCUUGCAUUGGCCGCCGGCACGGAGAGGCGCGCCCCCUCAUGUCUUCUCUCCGGCGAACUGCAGGGUUAGCCGUUUAGGUCGUCGCUCCGAGAACCAAGAUUUUUAUGUCUCGGUGGUUUAGUUCGGUGUGCUUGUCCGAUGGUCCAGCUGUUCAAAGUGAUUGUUCUCAUAUGAGUAGACCGAUCGAGAAUGUGUUAUAGACAGAUUAAUCUGGGACCCUUUUUUCACAGUAUAUCCAAGUCUUGAUAUAUUUUUCGAUAGAUUUCACUGAUUUCCAAAGACUCUGCAUACUUCCUUUUCCUUUCAAUUCACAAUUCUUGAAAUUGUGAAGCAUUCCAGUGCACUUUCACCAGGAAAUCCGGCUUUCACUAGCUCGGCCAGACAUGUAUUACCAUCAGUUCAACACUAUACAGCAAGGACAUCAUUGACAAUCAAAGGUCGUGUCCACAGCUUUUUUGGUAAGAUAGAAGAAAUUAUAUAAACCAAUGUUACUGGUCAACAUGUUCAAAAAGGGAAUACUAGUAACUGUGAAAGCUUAGCUAGCUAGGUGCUACUCAACACAGCUAACCUAAACUACUUUCUAUGAGCUACAGCCCAAUCUCCGAAUUAAACCACCCAACAUGAAUUGGAUAUAUAUUUGAACUUGGUUAGGCAGCAAAGCACUGUUUGGCAGAUUAACACGAUACACUAGCUUCCCUCCAAGAUCAUGUAUUCCACGGUGCACCCUGUAGUAGCUUGUGUUGUAUUCUUUUGUUCCUCUUUACAAAAGUUUCCACGUUGUCACUCUGGCCAUUUCGCCACAUGACACCUCCCCUGAUUCUUGCGUCGAAAAGCUGCAGAUGAUUCGUAUAUAUACACAUAAAAGGCUCAAUAAUAGAAGCUAGAAUUCUUCGGUCGGGGUGCGUCUUUGCAGAGAAUCGACCGAACUUCCAUGAUGGACCUAGGUGGCUCCAGAUCCUUUUGCUGGAGUGUAUUGCCAAGAAGCUGCUGCAUCUGGGAUGCGAAUGUAUCAUCCAGAACCUACAUAACAAAGAGAUAUGAGGAGCAGCACUGAAGUAAAGACACUCAAGAAAUAGCUUGUGAGUAGUUAAAUGGGACUACAUGAAAAAGAACUUACAGAUACUGCUACUCUUGCACCUUUGUACCAGGCCUUAUUUUCCUUGCGAUUCUCCAAGAAACUCAAAACAUCCUAAAACAAGGUUAAGAUUAGUGACAAGGGAAAAAAAGAAAGGUUAGUCUAAAAUUAGUGACACAUGACAACGGAAAAAAGAAAGGUGCUAUUGAUAUUUCAUAUACCUGUCCCAUUCUGUCCCAAAAACCUCGGCAUAUGGCUACAAACACAUGAACUUCGGAAACUUUGUGCACAUGAUUUAUAGCCUCGGUUAGCUGAUCCUUCAAAGCCUGCAUCCUGCUGCGAAUAUCAGACUCCAUAACCAAUUCUUUUGAAUCCUGAAUGAUCUUCUUAAGCUUUGUGGUAUUUUGCAUUCGGGUCUGAACAUAAAAAUAAAAGGAUUAUUAGAACCUAAACGACAAGCACAUUAUAUAAAACUUGAGCCUUUAGAACUUAAUAAAUGUACCACUUUUGCUGCAGACCUAAACACUACGUAAAAGACUAUCAGGACUUGCAAUUUUCAAGCAUAAUUCAGCAAAAGCAUUUCACUAUGAAAUCACCAUCUCUACAUGCAACCCACCAUAAUAUAGCAAUUAACAUCAACUUCAAUUUACAAUAUACAACAAUGUAGUGAUGUAGAUCAAAUGGAAACUUACAGCAUGGAAUGAAAAAACUAUGCAGAAGAGUCAAAAAAACUUAUGGCAGGGCUGUGUAGCAAAAACAGUUUGGUUUUAUAACAUGGCAAAACAAUCAAUGCCAACUGAAACAACAAAUUCAGUAGCUUUAAGCAUCAUUAAAGCGUAGCAAAACACUCACGUUUUCAGACAGCUUCUCCACAACAGCUUGCAUGUAGUUUCGGUAUUUGGCCCUCAGUGUUACAGUAACCUCACUAAGUCUUUCUCCAAUGGCAGCUGUAUUUCCUCCAUUGGGCAUACAGGAACUCCAUGACCUCAGAUGACUCUCAAUCCUUGGCCGCAAAACAUCCAGUAAUCGUUUCAUUGUAUUCAAGAGGAUUCCCAGCUGAAAGCAAAUAGGGGGGAGGGUGUCAGAUAUUAAGAUUUGAAAUUCUAAGAGCUGUGAAUUCAUACCAAAACUUACAUCUUCAGGUAUAAUAUAAGGGCAUGUUGAAUUGCGCUUUGUUAGCUUCUGAACAUAUUUGAGGCCGAAUUUCUUUGGGGCAAUACAGUCCUUAAGUGGGGCCAAAAUCUCCACAUACUGCUUUUCAAGAGAAUCAAUUACCGCUUUCUCAACAUCUGCAAUAGCCUUUUUGUUUUAAAGCAUUCAAAAUAACCAAGGUAAGUCACUUUCCAUUCCGUUUCAAACAAAUAAGCUGAAGAUCUGCAAGAGAAUCUACACGUACAUUCUCAAGAACAUAUAUGUAUUCUGGCCAUCGGCAAAUGAUAACCUCAUACUCGGUCAAUGUAUCCUUCAGCAAAGCAUACAUCUCGUCCACAAAAGGCGUUGUCAUAUGCUGAGUCCUAACUCCUGACCAUUUAACCUGAUAAUUGACAAAGGAAUUGCUUGAUGAAAUCCCUAUGGUUAAAAGUGGAAAGCUCGGUAGAGCCAUAUGAUAAGUAUGGCAAGCUAACAACUUUUCAGAAUAAAGAGUUCCAAAAGGAUCACACUGACUCAACCACCAAGCCAUUCAGGUUAAAGUGGGCAUCAUGAUCAAUAAUACUGAAACUAACUGUAUGCAAGCAUUGCUUUUCAGGGCCUGGUACUUUCAACUGCAAAUUGUCACAUUUCUGCAAGUGCAAGCAUGGAAACUAAUACUCCCUCCAAUCCAAAUUAUUGUCGCAGCUUUGUCUAGAUACGCAUGUAGCUAGAUGCAUUUCAGUGUGUAGGUAGAUGUGUAUCUAGACAAAGCUGCGUCAAUUAAUUUGGAUCGGAGGGAGUUGAAGAUUCAACAUUACUCCGGAAAACAAAUACUCCCUCCGUCCUUAUUCUUAUACAAAUCCACGUCACUUAUUUCAGGACGGAGGGAGUACUAGUUGCAUCUACCAAAACUUUCAAUAUCACGAGUGCACACUAUUAGAAUGAAUAAAUCCCAUCCUUCAUCUGAUUAAUCGAGCUGUUUUAGUGAAUGUGAUAAAGUUCCAGAAAUGUUACUUACAACUCAACUAAGGGAAAUAAAAGUAAAGGAAAUACUUAGAUAUUAACCACUUUCAAUCACUUUACUUUUCAAUAUCAGUGAGUCAAAGCAAGUAAAAGAAAAUGAUUUACCUUAUCAAGCCUGCAAUUUUCGAGCAGUGUCCUACGUUUGUCUUCAAUCCAUAAUACAAUGUACAAAUGGAACAACUCUUUUGCAUCAACACCAGCUUUAAUAGAGCUGUGUAGAAAUUGAUAUGUCAGUCUUUAAUAUACAAGACAUGAGUGCAAGAAGAGAACCCAAUCAACAAGGAUGCUUACCAAAUGUUCCAACUAGAAAGAUCCUUCUGAAAAUCUGCAGUAGCAAUCACCAAAUCUGAAACAGGAGAUGAAGGACCAGUAGGGGGACAGGCAACAAGGAACGAACGUAGCCUAUUUGAGAGCUCCACACUAUAUAUGGAGGCAGCCAGAUUGGGGAGGUCGACAAAACUGUGGAAAUAGAGAAAUAAACAAAGAUUAAAAUAAUUCACUAAAUACUACAUACAAACCGAAAGUAACAGAAUCAAUUUAUAAUGAAAUGUUUCUAUAGGUCAUGCAUACUGAACAGUGAAUCGAAGAUGAACAGCAGGCUAUACAAUUGUACUGUACUAAAGCUAAGGCCCAGAAAGAAGAGCGUACCUCGGAAGUAUGUUCUGAUUAUGAAUUUCAAUGUCUGUAAAAAUUUCAUUUCGUAUAUUAUGGCAUAAUGAUUUCAUCUUCUCGUAAGCUGUCCUGAAGGUCAUCAAGUCCAUUUUAAUGCCUUCAGAAUUUCCAGCCACGAAUUCAUCUGUUUCAAGCAUGUGCCUCCUAGAUCGCUUCCUGGCAGCAGCCUGCAUAUAAAUUUAAAGCUGAUAAGCAACAUCUAGGGGAAAAUAAUUAUAUACUUAUAUUGAACAGUUGAAGAAUGACCUGAAAGUAACCACAUAAUCUCAGCUGUGCCUCCGGAGAUAGCACAUCAUGGAGAAGACUGUACAGCUUUAUAGCUGGCUCCAAAGCUGACGCAGUCAAUCCGGUUGGAGGCCUAAAACCUUCCACUAAACCAGAUAGCAGAGACUCAUCAAGCGACUUGUAAUUCUCAAAUACCAUUGCUAAAGUCUGCUCAAUUUGCUCCUCGACUUCCCCUAGAAUCCGAUUCUAAUCAAGCAAACACAAUCAAGCAAAUCGUGUUGAGAUGUCGAAGUCACUCCAACUUUAAGGAAUUUGCUGCCUAUAUUGUGAGAGGAAAAAAACAGGCGGAAAAUGAGUGAUUACCUCUUGGUGGCUCAGUGUAGCAGUACCAUGGCUCUUCAUUAGUACUGGCAACAAAAGCUCAUGAACCAGAUUGAGCCAAUCAGCAGUAGGGGUUGCAACAUCCACAAUAUACGAGAGGUACCUACAGGAAGAAUGAUAAAUAGCAGCUUGUUGAUGGAGUACGAAGACAAAAGGGUGGGUGCACGGGGGGUAGUUUGAACAAAGAGACAACAUUCAAUCCAAAACCAGAUCUUUUUCUUUUUACCAACAAAUUUAUGUUGUUACAACAAAUAUAAUCAUUUAAGUUUAUCACCAACAUGGUUUUAGCAAACCGAGAUCAGUUCUUCAGGUAAGUUAAAUCACAACUGGAACAUAACAAUCAUGCAAAGGCAAGUAAAAUCUAAAAAGAGUCAGGCCUGCAGUAGGUACCUCAACUUAGUAUAGGCAUCUGAAACCCCAUAGUAUGAUGCAAAUUCUGUCAACAACCAUUUCCAAGAACCUUGCAAGACAAGAUUCCUUUGCUGAAUGUGUUGUGCUUUCAUUGCAACUUCCAAAGCAAUAUCGUAUGCCACAGUCUCUGCAACAGAGCCAUACUAACAAACAAAAGUAUAACUACAAAGUAGAAAAUUACUCAACAUGUAAAAAAGUUUAUCGUAGAUAGUAAUAUUGUAAAAACUUUAUCAUUGAGAUAAGUAGGCUUCUUUAAAUCAUUGAGAUAAGUAUGGUAGAGAGUAUAUAUUAACCAAUUCUUUCAAUGAUUUACAUUGAGAUAAGUUGGUUUCCCUGGUCGCCUGUAUUCAAAUCAAUAGUGUGUAGAUUUACUCUUGUUUCAUUAAUAUUCCUUCGUAUGGGAAUAUUCCAGAGAACUUUUUUCCUUUGCCACCUCAGAUAAUCUUAAUAAACUAAACUCAAAACUAGGGCUGUAACAUACAAAAAAAUAAUUUAACUAGUACCAUCACAUUUUUACAUUUCCAAGAACAAAGUCCCCUGAAAAACAAUUCGUAUAGCUAUUUGGAUAAAAUUGCUAUAUCAGUACCUUUGUGUUGUUUUCAUCUGCAGCAGUUGUGUACUGGACAUACAGAUGUAUGCGUCCCACAAGUUCAUGCUCUGGCUCCCGAUAUAUUGACCACCAGCGAAGUUUGUCACCCUACAUAAGAGAAAGUUCAGAAAUUUACAAAGGAGAAUCAAUUGCAAGAAUCAAGAAACAACAAACUAUGGAGAUCUACAAGAUCCAUUAUUCAAGGAACUUUCAAGCAACUAGCAAAAUCACUAGGAAAAUCUUACAGGUUCCUCAGCCAUUGAAGCAAUUUGAGCAACGACGCGUCCACAGGGUUUUCCAUUAGAAUCAGACACAUCAAUGAUCAAAUCAUCUCCCAGGCUAUCCGGAAAGCUGAAAUUCCAACAGAAAUAUAUUCAGUUUCGCUAUAAACUAAUUUGACCAUAUCCUGCUUUUUUCUCACAAGAACAUUUCUCAAGAAAUCCCAAUUGCAUCAGCUACUGCAGAUUUUUUAACUGUUGCACAUGUAUUAUCAAAGUAUGUUAUUUUAGAGUUUUUCUUGUACGUACAAGACGUGUGUUUCGCCAGAUCCUGGUUGCAUUGGUACCACGUCAUCUUCAGGUGAGCUUUUAAGCCUCAGUUUGCAGGAAUAUGUCUCUGAGACCAGGAGAACAUGUUGAGAUUGAAGUCAAGAAACUGUCUGUUAUGAAAGGAAUAAAGCAUAUUUACCUUGUUGUACUUCAUAAGAUGAACUGCUGCGCAGGGUAGUGACACCAACUUUUAGCAGACCAGAUACCUGCUUGAUAUAUUGAGCACUUGCUUGCAUGUACGCCAAGCUAUGCUUCGAGAAGGAACUGUUAGAAGGUACCGCUGGUAAAACUUGAACUCUUCUAACUGACUCCCAUCCAGACGAGAAUGUUGAUUGUACAUUCGACAAACGGUGUCGAACAGAAUCUAGUUUCACCACUGGCAAUGAUGAAAAACUGCAGCCGGAAGGCAUAUCUACAGACAUUCGAACUUUGCGAACUGCAAUUAAAAAUAAAUUAUGUUAGCUUUGACAUCCUGGCAGUUUUGAGAUCAGUUUACACUACUGAGCAUGUAAAGACAACUCUUAACAGCCAGAAGGUUCUGCAUGUCUAUUAGAAGUUCGUUAAAAAGUAAGUGGAAAUUAGCCAAAUAUAUGGCACGCAUCUGGGAAGUCUAUACCUUGAACCUUCAUUUUGCCUACAGUUUUCUUGGGUUUUGAUGCAGCUCCUUCAGUGACUAGUUCCGAUGUCCGUUUUGCCAUGAGCUCCUCUUCAGACCGUAGCAGCACAUCUUGCAAGCUAAAUGAAACAUGCAGCAACAUCAAGUUACCAAACUGUACAAUUAUUGACACAUUUAGUUUAUAAAUUUGUUUCUAUUGCAAGUUUCAACAUAUACAACAUUUUUGUAAUGACCAACAUGAACAAGAUAGGCUGUACAAAGAGUGCAAACAACUGAUAUGCUAGCUCACAAUACAAAUCCCAAAAGGUUUUCUUCAGUACUCCAUAGAAAAAGACUGCAAAUUUUGAAGCAAUGAGGGUCGAGAUUAAAACUGGUAUUUGUUACUUAAAAGGCAUUGAUGGUGCUAAUAUUCAGUCAUACAACACCAAGAGAUCUGCAAUUCUUGGAAAAAAUCACAGCAUCUUAGUGCAGCACAUGUAUUUAGAUUGAAUGCUAAUAUCCACAAUUAAAGAAGCUGUUUUGACUGAUUCAAUUCAAAAAAAAUUAUAAUUUGCAGUAAUAGAGAGAAGUAGAGCUUUGAGCUUUCAAAUGGAACGAACUGAAUCAAGUUCAGCAAUGUAUUUUGCUUUCAGAAUGGAUCAAAUCCAUAGUCAUCACAGAAAUGGGUGAAGGUAGCUGACAUAGGCCGGCUAGGAAGCCUGACAAGAUAUCCAGAGGCACACUGAGAGAAGUUGCCCACAGGAAAUUCACAUGGCGACCAGCAUAAUUAGAGCCAUUAAUGCCAGAUGAAUUAGGUAAAAGUUAGGAACAAGCUGGGUUCAAACUACUUUUACCACCAUGUGUCCAUAUCCACUUGAAAUCUAGUCGUAAUAAGUACAAUAUGCUUAACUGCAGUAGCUAUUGUACAGAAGAUAUGUAAACAUGUCUACCAUAACUCACAGAAACUAAAACAAGUAAACUGCAGCACAAAUAUUUGAUGACAUCUUGAUAGUUUCAUGAUUCUUACAAGCAUGAAAAUAUUUCCAGCAUAACUCACCUAAAUGAAUCUCGCAACAGCGUGCACUCAUUUUCUAGAAAAACUGGAGCUUCCAUGCAGCCUCUCGCCCACGCAUGAAGGCACAGGCGAACACAUGCAUCAUAUGCAAGCACGGAAUACCAGGGGCCUUGCAAGCUUUAUUUUCAACAAAUAUGUUAUUAGAGAAAUAUGGAACAGCAAAACAAAUUAUUACUUAAUGUGUACUCUACAUACCUGGCAUGAAAUGUGGGGACCCGGAUAGGAACUGAACUUGAUGGCCUGCUGGAGUGCCUUCCAUUUAAAGUGCUCCUGCAUGGUAGAACAACUAAUCAGAAAGAAACACAAAGAGAACAUACACAAUCACUUUCUCGACAGUGGCUUAAUCAAACAGUUAGUCAGUAUUAUAGAAGCUACCGUUCAGUUUUUUCAGGCAAGUUACUUCCCACAAUACCAUCGUCCUGUUCCUCUUUUACAACAGUUGAACUUUCUGGAACUUUUGCACUUGCAGAAGGUCUUGUAUCACAGCGAGGAGCUGGGGAAGUUUCCUGACCAUAAUCAUGUAUUGGUGGUGCACUGGGGACAUCAGAUAAGCCAUCCUGCACAUGAAAUAAAUCAGCGCAGUUACAUGGUAGAAAAUGUGGCAUCCAGCAAUCAGUAAAAUCUACCCAUUCGAUAAUGUAAGAACUAAUCAAUAGCAUAAGUCAUAAUUUCGUAUAUAUUUUAGAAAGCAAGGUAACAGGUGACACUUAUAGCUUAUGGCGUCAAACAACCCAGAAAAAAACAAAUCUGCACCAACUUUCAGACUUAGAUUACAUGAUUAACUAUAACAUGUAAGAGAUAAGAUUAUAAAUUAGAAUUUCAUGCUUUUCCCAAGAAAAGGGAUAAACCUGAUCAUUAUAAAUGUGAACGAAUUGCAGAAGUGUGUUAUCCUUAAGCAGAGCAGCCAGUACCUCAACUAAUAUUACCAUGAGAAGGGUUGUUCAAUGACCAGAAUGUUUGUUUACACUAUCACUAUGUUACACACAAAAUGAAUGUUGCUGAUUUCACCAAAAAGGUUAGUACUUUGAUAUCAGCCGCAGAGCUAAACAAAAGUGGAAAUGAUGCUAACACUAAUUUGAUAUCAGAGAUAAAAGCAGUGAGUAAAUAAAAUAGAAAUAAUUUACAAGUAAGCACAGAAAACGAACCAUUUUAGGAGAAGGUUUGGCAUUGCCUCGAGCAGUGACUUGAGCAGAAUAGUGAUCUGGCUGGUAAGCGCUCGAGUUGGAGGGCUUGCCUGCCAUACGAGGCUUAGGAACCGCAUUGUUCACUUCUCUUCGGACUGGGCCAGUAUGGGAAUACUCUGAUGCAUACCCGCCCUUGCUCCGGCCCACGACCUGGCUUGAAAACUCGGAGCUGCCUGCAGAAUCUGAAUACUCCUCCUCCUCGACGUACCCAGCAGGACGUGCCUGUGGCCGCCGAACCUGUUGUGGCUUCGCCCUUGGCAAAGCCGUAUCUCUCGAGGAGCUCAGAUCCGAAUAGCCGUCACUGGAAUAGUAAUUCUGCUGCCCGGGCACAUUGGCGUAACGGUAAAGGGGAACGGCCGUGCGGCGGGGGAUGUCGUUGCGGCGGGGCGAGGAGUCCACGGAGUACCUGCCGCUGCAGACCUCGACGUCCUCAGCGUCCGAAGACUCGUCCAUGUCGGACGCGGAGGAGAGGCUCCCGUCGUCGGUGCGCAGCGCGGUCGGCGGCACCGCCGCGCGUGGCAGGUGGCCGCUCCUGAACUUCUCAGGCGGCGGCAUGCCGAGGCCGGCCGCACCGCGCACGGCGCGCAGCGCGUCGACGCGGUCGUGGCUGUGGAGCGCCGUGCCGUGGCCCUGCCACAUUUGAAACCAAACAUCAACACCACGCAUCAGAGACGGAAAAAACCCGCUCCGCGACAGGUUUGAAUCAGCUAGGGUUCCGGAAGCACGGCGAGCCCCUACUCACCUCCCGCACCCACUUGAGCGCGUCUCGAUCUAGCCCCUCGGUGAACAUCAUCUACUCGGCAUGCAACAAAUCCAACUCUGGAAGCAGACAAAUUCAGGAGGAAAAAACCCAGCAAAUUAGCGCCAGCCACAGCAAAAUGCAGGCAGGCGACGCAUCACGCGCCCGAAAAUCCCGCAAAAAAAUCCUCAAAAUGCAGAUUCGAGCAACGAAGGAUUUGGGAGGCGAAUCGACAGGGGAAAAGGGAGAAGAAACUGCUUACCUCGGUAGCCCCAAACCCAAAUCAGCGGGCGGAUUUGGCGCUUGGGAAGCGACGCGGCUUGAAUUCGUUCAAAAAAAAAACCGACACGAACAAUCCUCGGGGGCAGCAGCGGGCGGAGAGAGCGACAGCGAUGGGAGCGUGAAAGCAGAACGAGUGGGGGGAGAAGAAGGGGCAGAGGAGGAGGAGGAGGAGACUGGGGCGGAGGAAAGGGACAAGAGGAGUUUAUUAGCCUAUGUUUACUGUUCGGAAGGAAAAAGGACCAUAAACCCGUUCUUUGUUUCGAAUUAAAACGUGACGGAGACGGCAGGCUUUGCAGCUAAGCACCUCUCCCGCAGUAUUUUUGGUACUGGAAAUUAGAGAGAAUAAUUAAUACGGAAGUGGAUCAGCGCGAGAGAAAAAAAAAGAGGAAACAAUCCAGAAAUAGCGAGAUUAUCAGCGCGCAAAAGGAAGUAUAUCUUCGUCACAUGAUUAAUAUCUCCCCCCUUAUCCCAUUUUUAGGGCACAGCGGCUGCCAUAAAAAUGCGUAAGCGAGAAAGAAAGAAAUGCAAUUGCCAAUUGGAGGGAGCAGUGUAAUUUGUUUUCGAUUGAGGGUUCUAUCAGCGAAAAGAAGAUAAACAAGCUAGCUAACCCCGCUCUCUCGCUUUCCGUUUCUCGUAAGCCUCCGCGCCGCUGCGUACGUUAACGUAAAGCCAGGCAGGCCCCCAAUUUCCCAACGGGAGGAUGCGAGAGCGGUUUGACGGCGUCAAGGGGGGGCUUCCCUUUUCUGUAACGGUCGAGCGACGUGGGGAAUUGCUAGCAGCAGUAGUUGACGACUUGGUGCUGUGGACUGGAGUGGACCCGUGUGAACGCGGCGCAGCGCAGCGCACGGCUGCCGUGCUGUGCGGCGCGGACAGGCGAGCCGAUGCCGUCCGUUUGUGAGCGGAGGCGAUCUGAGACGUUGGUUUGGGUGUUUGGUGUUUGAGGGGGGCGCGUGGGAUUCGGGAGAGCGGUGGGGGCACAUGCGUGGCUUUGCCCUUUUUUCGAACGGCGUGGUCGGGAGAGUGCAUGGGAAUUUCCUGGGACGUGGUUGGGAAGGACGGGUUUGCCCCUUGGUGUUGCGGAGGAAUUGCGGGGAAGGGUGAGGGAUUGCCACUGAUGGAGUGACGCUACGAGCUUUCGGCGUGACUGACAGGAUGGGCCGUACUGGUGGGCCCGGGAUGGUGAGGCAGGAGGGAGCAUAUGGCCAAAGCGAUCAUCCAUGCAUGCUCCCCCGCUCCAGCCAUGACACAUCAUGGUAGGUUUGCCUUUUUCAAAAAAAAAUUCUAACGGUGGAUGAAGAACUAAGCUCUAAACUCUCUUUUCCCCAUUAUCUGCACUUCACACUCUGAAAUAUAUAGUCCUCUAGGAGUUGGAUUUUCUGAUUAAAUGGUUAGCACGUUGUUGUCAGUUGACACGAGCCAUUUCUACCGUGGCGAUCGAGAGGGACAAAAAAAACUUAAGCCAAAGAAGCCUUUUUCAUGUGUUCCGACGUGUGGAAGCCAUUCGAGCAAGCCUGCACAUUUUCCCUUGGGUGACGCGGAAAAGGGAGCAGUUUGGUCGGGUUAGACAGGAGAAAAUGCUGCACGGUUUCUGGUGGGUGGCCUGCCGGGUGAUCGAUGAUCGCCGCGACGGUCUCAGCCCUUCACAUGGAACGUGCUGCGAGCGCGAGCUGGAGCCACGGAAAGGUUGCUUCCGGCUAAUCUCACUGCUGCUCUCCGGAGCUCCGGGCCAAAGAUGGAAAACACUUAAUAGCUCGUAGUAACUGACAUUUAUAUUCUGCGUUUCUUCCGUUAAUAAUUCUGCCGCGCUGCGAUUUGACCUUCUAAUCCAGUCUUCUUCUCGUUUACAGCCCGGUGGUGUGAAUGAGCAGCACGUGCCGCCGAGAGGAGCAGAUCUGGUUUUCUUCGGUAGGAAGGAAUGUCAGUCAGGUCGGGGCGAAAGGAAAUCCAGGUAGCUAAGCACCACAGUACAAGUGCCGUUUUUGUUAAUAGCAAGUGGGGUACGUUGUAGCUUGCAGGGGAGACGGAGCAAAAGGUCCCUAUGUAACAUGGUAGAUGCCGCGAGGGACCCUGGAAGAAGAACCCGACGACGGAUGCGGCAAUUUCUUGGCGCUGCGGGAUUUCCUGAAAAAAGACAGAAACGGACGUAAGACAGCAGGAGUAGGAGCUGGAGCUGCAGCUGGUGCGCGUUUCUCUGCGUGGAUUAGCAGCAUUAUUUUCAUAGACAAACCAUGUGUUCGGGGCGACUAAACGAAAGCGGCUUGAUAUGUUUAUUCCAUGUUUUUAUUGGCGACCUAUGUACGGGCGUGUGGCACACAAUGCGAGUGCGACGUGCCUAGAGGCAGGAAAGCUUUAAUUCGUACCGGGGCUCGGGUAGUCGUGUUUUUUUUUUUGAGGUUGUAACGGGCCGAAAAGAUGAUCCAAACGUUGUUGUGGGCCGUGGUCGCAAAAGAUUAUAACUGCGAGUGGCAUGCUGGUAAUGGAUCGGGAUGCGAGAGUCCAAACGGGGGCGUUAGGAAACAUGUUUUGUUGCAUUUGAUGUGUACUGGGCCAGCCCAUGCAUUAAGAGAGGAACCACACGUGUCCAGUGCUGGGCCGUAACUAGCCUUGCCCAGUUAAGAAAAAGAAAUACUCCAGUUUACACCAUACUGUUGGAUAGGCCCAAAAUACAAAUUAGCUUCAGCCGAGGCCACGUCACGUCGGGCGUGUCAAAUCCUGCUCCAGUCUUCCGAAGGAAAACCGCAGGCGGGGCGAGAGGAGAAACCGAAAGAAGAAAAAAAAAUCUAGAACCUUCCUGGCUGCGCCAAGCCCGAAUCUAACAACCACUAUACCAGCGCCCAGCGGCCAUCAUCCCAGGGCAGGCAGGAACCCGGGAAUCGGCUCCGCCAGGAAACCGGCCGGACCCCGCGAGCAGCAGCAGGACCCCGCGAGGCGGCGAGCGGAGCGAAUGUGGUGGGAAUGGUGGGACGGCGAGGAGGCGGCGGCGGGGCCGCGGGAGGAGGUCCCCGUCGAUUUCGACUUCAUCUCCCUCCUCUGCAAGCCCAAGGUGAAGCGGAACGCCCCUGCCUAUCUGCCCCCCCCCCCCCCCUCCCCCUUCGAUUCGCCACGAAUAUUGUCCUUUUGUUGGGGCUUUCUUCUUCGUAGGGCAAGCGAACCCCCGCCGCUUGGGUCGCUGUAGAUGGUUAUUGUUACGGGCAAUCAAGUCCCCCCUUUCACCUUGUUAUUAUGCCGCUUUAUGGGUAAAUUGUUAUCUCGCGCUUACGGGGAAAUUUACGCAUGCAGGAUGCCUGUCAUUCAAUGCAAACCCAACUACUAGCAUGAAUUCUUUUUACCCAUGUUGUUACACCAAAUAUAAUUAUUUAAGUUUGUCCAACAUGAUUUUUUAGAAGUAUCCAACAUGGUUUUAGCAAUCAGAGAUCAGUUUUUCAUGUAAGUUAAAUCACACUGGAACUUAACAAUCAUGCAAAAGGCAAGCAUAAUCUAGAACGAGUCGGGCCUACUGUCGGUACCUCAACUUAGUAUAGGCAUCUGAAACCCGAAUCCCAUAGUAUGAUGCAAAUUCUGUCGACAGCCAUUUCAACCUUACAUGACAAGAUUCCUUUGCUGAAUGUGUUGUGCCAUCAUUGCAACUUCCAAAACAAUAUUGUACGCCACAGUCUCUGCAACAGAGCCGUGAUAACAAACAAGGUUAUAACUAUAAAGUAGAAAACUAGUCAACAUGUAAAAACUUUAUGGUAGAUAGUACUCCCUCCGUCCCAUAUUAAGUGACUCAAAUUUGUCUAGAUAUGGAUGUAUCUAUAUACUAAAACACGUCUAGAUAGAUGUAAUAGAAAGUCACUUAAUACGGGACGGAGGGACUAGUACUGUAAAACUUUGUCAUUGAGAUAAGUAGGCUUCCAGAGAGUAUAUAUUCAACCAAUUCUUUAAAUAAUUUACAUUGAGAUAAGUAGGAAUCCCUGGUCGCUUGUGGUCCAAUCAAUAGUGUGUAGAUUUACUCUUGUUUCACCAAUAUUCCUUAGUAUUGUGUAAAUUUACGCAUGCAGGAUUACUACAAGAUACUGGAAGUUGAUUAUGAUGCUUCGGAGGAGACAAUCAGGUCGAGCUAUAUCCGUCUUGCACUGGUCAGUGUUUGCUCCAACACCACUAAUCCACCUGUCCCCCACUCUUCAAGUGUGUAGUCUGAAUACUGUGAUGCAAAUCUUUUACCUGGAGCUGCCGCUUUUGUUAAACUAUCUCAGAUGAGGAAACUUGGGCCUAGGAACACUAGUACACUACUUAAUUUUCUGCUGAGGCCUGGACCUGUGUUUUUCUUGUAGAAUUACACUUAUGUGUUUUGUCUUGAGGUCUUGGUAGUAGUGAGUACUGACUAACGAUUUCCAACCCUUUCCUGUAGAAAUGGCACCCUGACAAGAAGAAGGGUGAAGAAAAUUCAACUUCAAUAUUUCAGGACAUUAACGAGGCAUACCAAGGUGAGAUUGGUUUCUUGAUCAAUAAUUCGGUAUCCAUUUUUUGUUCUGAGUUAACUCCGACCAAGCAUAAUUCUAUAGCAUACUAUAGUUACAGUACUGUGUAUGUUACUCGAGUUGCGUGCAUGCCUUAUAUUAUGGAACAGAGGGAGUAUAAUUUUUGUAUUAGUGUAUGUUUAGCAUUUCAAUAUGGCGUGCAAGCAACAUCUUAUCCACCACAAUUUUUUAACGAUGUAGCAAAUCAGGUUUUGGAUUAAUGCACUCAAAUUUAUCUUCCUACAUUUGACUGCAUGGGCAAUUCAUGCUGUCCCUGCCUAGAUGCUGCUUAGGGGCGUAUCAUCCUGUGUUAAAUGAGUUAAGUAACUCAUGUUGUCUUGAUACCCCCGGUUAGCAGAUCUUUUGGAUGACUUGUCUACAUCCAUUUAGGAGGAGUCGCUCAUUGGCUUGUGCGAACAAGUUUGGGAUGUUUGUAAACAGGUCAUGAAACUAUGCACUUGGAUCAUACCAAGUAACUAUGCAGAACAUGAUUCGUACUUGGUCUUCACACUUGAGCUACAUUUUUUGCGCACCUUGAACAUUUAGGUUGCAUUUGUCAGUACUCUACCAGAAGCUGACCGUCAUCCGUCAGUAUUAUUUCGCACUGACUGUCAGAAUCUUCAUUCACACUGCAUAUGAUUUUAGUUUUCUAUUUGGAAACUGAGACAAUUUCUCAAGUAGGCUAAUAAGUUGACACAUCAAGUGUUUUCAUCCAUGACAUCAUAACUCUUGUUUUGACAGUUCUCAGUAACCCAGUAAAACGGCAGGAGUAUGACAAGAAAGGCAUUUUAUACGUUCAGGAUCAGAAUGCAGCGGUGAGUACCCUGUAUCAGACACCUACCCAGGAAAACAAAUCUUGCACAGGACUGUAGGAUUUUCUUUUGAUGCAUUUUAUUUGUUGACAAUUUCAGGAUUACCUGAACCGGCACAAGGGUUUGAUACUUACAUGCAACGGUCUUGGCGUGAGGUACUCGGUGUGGUGAGCUUCCUCCAAGGUACCAACCAGAGUCUGCACCCGUCAGCGGUCUUGGACGACGUGUGUAGUUGUAAAAUCCCAUCUAGUUCACAAAAUGUAGCACGGUACUCUCAUUUGGGGGCCUAAAUGGCAGCUUAGAGUUCAUCCUACAACAGAUAUGAUUUAUAUUUGCUGAUCAGCUGUUGUAGACUGCAAGAGGCAGAGAUGUCCUAUGUUGCAUAUAGCCCCUAAAACACUGUUCCUAACCUAUGGAAUGUCAGCAUAUGUGUUCCUGAAUACCUUCCAUUUUACUCAUGACACUGAGUGCGGUUGGGCAGCAGAAUAUACUUGCUGUCUAACGCCAUGUUCCUCACUUGCAAAACUUCAGUAUUUCUUCUUGGGGGCGAAUAAAUAUGGUUAUAACUUCAAUAUUAUAUUAAUUGGUCAUGAAGCAACGUUUACAAUUAUAUUUUGAGGUGUUGUAAUCAGCGUUCAUGGUAUUGUCAAAUUUACACAGCGAAAGAUCAAUGCUGUUGUAAUCACUUAAUUAAGUCUGUCUGGUCAGAUCGUGGUUGACGUUUCAUACCAUGUUUUCGAGGUGCCAAGUUCAAAUUUUGAUUGUGUUUACUCUGAAUAAAAAUAAAGACGCUUGAGCAAGCACACUAGUGGCAAAACUUAAGAUGUCUGAUUACAGCUGACGAGAGGAAUCUUAGCGUACAACACAACUUUUUCUUUCUUUCAGUAAUAGUUGGAAGAAAAGAAGGCCUAACAACAAGCUGACUGUAUAGCAUAAACAAAUGCUAACACGUCAUUUGUCCCUGCUCAAAUUAUCCUCUCUUUCAGAUCUUCGAAUUUUGCAAACAGCUCAUCUCUGCUUUCCUGCAUAUGUUGAAAGCCGAUAAUUGGGUCAUUAAGCAGUCUCUAAAUAAAGGUCACUUUCUAUAGAAAGCUGGGCUAUUAAACCUUUUCUCUAAAAAAUAAAGGUCACUAAACACACCGCAGGCAUGACUGGUGCGGGCAUUGUAGGGGAGGGAGUUGGGAGACGUACCUUGAAGAGGAGAUACCGUGUGGUGAACCAGAUUGAGUAGCCAGUUCCUACGAGUUCCAGCACUUUGGGGAGCUGAGAUGAGUAGGUCGAGUGGUUUAGUAAACAAGGAGCACUAAGUUUUUAAGUACAUGCAGAUUUAUCCAACAAUGCCAUUACAUACCAGGGGAACAGAAUCAAUCGCAGCAACAACUUUAGAUAAAAUCAAUAGGGCGAUGAGAGCGCCAGAUCCGAAAAGGACAUAAGUGGGUGUCACUUCGAUGUCCAACUGAAAUGAGAAGCCCAAAAUAAAUGUGAUCAUCCAAGACAGAAAAAUCCAUUAAAGAACAAACAAGAGGUGCAUAAGCAUAACAUCCUCAUGAAACUAUGAAAGUGUACAUGAUAUAGCCUUCAAUGCAGCAACAUAUUAAGUUGUACAUUUCUAUGGCAUGGCAUAUGACUGAUUUAAUACAGUGCAACCUCAUAAAAACAAACAAUUGCUCAAUCGAAGCUCCAACUUUCAGCAAAUUGUUCUCUAGUCUUAUGUUGGUGAUAUACACUAGUCUUAUGUCGGCGAUAGAGCUCAGCUUACUGAUUCUCAGAUUAAGUACGCAUGGUGAUAGAGUUCAGCUUGCUAUGUUAAGAUCUAUCAUUAGCUUGAACAGCCAUGCUGAGCCAAAGAUCAGCAAACUCACAUUUUCCCCUGGUUACUCUUUCGUUAUGUUAACUGCCUUAGAGAAACAUGUUGCUACUAUUGAUUUCUCAUUGAUAUUUAGGAGACUACACAGUUAUCAUUACUACCACAAUAUGCUCGGUUACAUGGAAACCGGCGAACAUACUGCUCCCUCUGAUCCUAAAUUAUUGUCGUUGUUUUAGUGCAAAUUUAAACUAAAACAACGACAACAAUUUAGGAUCGGAGGGAGUAACAUAUUUCCUGCUCAAAAGUGUCAUUUGUUUCCUGCGUCUACCAAUGGCUGGCACGCUAACAUCAUUUUAGUUUGAUGUAAUCCCACAUAAUGCCAACUUGCGAUUAAACUUAAGGGGGACAUUUAGUUGCAGUCUGUGAUACGUAUAUGUUGGUAAAUUCUACACUACCCCCAUCUUUCCAGACGGAAGAUUGAGGAAUUGCAUCCAAUUUGGACGAGCUGUAUUACUCCCUCAAACUUGAACUCUCUCUGCAAAGCAAUACAGCAAACGUUAAGGCACGGCUAUACCUUGCUCAGUAUGUCGUCCACGCUCCCGUCCUCCUCGGGCGUCCCCGACGACGCCGGCGCAUCUGCUACCGUCGCCUCCACAGCGCCGCUGCUUCCCCCGGAGACCGCUCCAGCCUCCUCGCCCUUCUCCUCCCCGGCGGGCUUGUCAGUGACGGCGACGACGGUAGACGCGGACGCGGACGAGGGCUCCUCGGACGGUACCGGAUCAGGCGCGGCCGAGCGGCAGCGCACGCCUGGCGAAAUACAACCAAAGAGACACAGCCGUGGUGAGAAGCGAGAACAAAUCGGCAGCGAGCAGGGGGGGGGUGGAGAAGAAGAGAGAAGGCGAUGGGAGUUCCCGGUAGUACCAACCUCGUGCUGGGCCGCGGACGACGGCGACGGAGGGGGGCGGUCGGCGGCCGCGGGCGAUGGACAAGGGAGCGGAGCAAGCGGCGGCGGUGGAGACGCGGACCUCCAUUAAUGCUUUUCACACCCUCGUCCUCUGUCCUCUGUUGCCUUUCUGUGGAGGUCGACCUGGCUGUGGUUUGAGGUUUUUGUGAGCUCUGAGGGCUGAGGGGAGGAUGAGGCGUGGUGGGCUGGGCGCCUCGGUGAUGUCAUUCAUUUCAUGUGUACCACGGCACAUUUGAUCUUGCCGUUGCAUCGUUCAACAGCGGAACAGGCGUCGCUUUCUCUUUUCUUUCCUGGAGCCCCCGCUUCUGAGGGUCCUGCUAUUACUGUUUUUUGGGUUGGAUCUUUCUCUUUUCCGCCGGGCUUUUCCUUUUGGGAAAGAAAUAAAUGAUGCGCAAAAUAACAACAGGCAUACAGUGGACUGAUCUGGAAAACUCAAUAAUUUCUUCUGAUGAAUACAAGCGGAUGAAUAGUUGUUGCAGUACAGCGGAAUGUGUUGGUGUCUGUUGCUCCAUUUUGCUGUGUUUAGCCUGGCAUCAUUUUGUGUUUUCUUUACAGGAUCGUUUUGUGGUUGCUAUGCUUUGUGCGUUUGACAAACAACUCUAGAGUAGUUCUUUUUCUUUUGAGAGAGAGAGAGAGAGAGAAUAUUUUGUCGUUCUUGUAGGGGAACUCACUCUGCUAGCAAUCAGCCCAUAUGCCCGUCCCCCGUCUCAUAGCGCGCCCAAUAUGCCAGGGCGUGUAAACUCCGGCCUUCAGCAAUCGUUCGUCGGCCCAUACUGUUCAACGCCCACGCUUAGUCCUCGUUCCAUAGUGGCGUUCCUGUAAAAUUGGGGUGUCUUUUUUUUUUGACAACUUAAAAUUGGGGUGUCUUGUUUGUGUGUGUGGAGAAACAGAGUUGGCGUGACCUAACUGCUAGUGCAUGCACGACUUGUUUGAACCACUUUGGCCCGCACUUCGCUUCUGCUAGAUCCGAUGAUAAAAUCUUCCGGAGUUCCCCAAAAAACGAGCGAUCCUUGAACGAACGCUCGAAAGCAUUCUGAAUGCCUACGCUCAACAAUCAACAUGCGCACACAGAAGAACUUCGCUGGAGUUUACAAAACACGCAGUCACGCAGAGACCCACUCCGUACAAACAACCGGCCUCGGACUCGAUCUCCCCCUGACUUCCCGUGAGAAUCCUGAUCAUGAAUUGGCAUUGUUUCUACUACGUGGAGCGGGGAAGGAAAUGCUCGGUGUUCCUUCUGCCUGCAUGUGCGCAUGAGUGCCACGGGCAUCGUCAAAGGGUGGUGGAACUGGAAGCACGAGGCAGAUGCUAAUACGGAAAGGUGGAGCUCCUGGAGGACCGUGGCGGAGCCAGUGGCCACAGGCCGCGCCGAAGCAUGGCCGAACUAGAGAAAGUCCACGGGCAGGAGACACCAAGGAGGCAGGCAAGGAGAGGAAGAAGACAGCCACGAGCGCACGCACGCACCAACGGCGCGAUCGAGACAGGGGAAAAAGAAGGGCGGAUGAUGAGUCGAGAAGGAAAAAUGAGCGCGGCGUAUAGAUGCUUCGGCUCGACGGCACAACACAUGCAUGGCUGCCGCGAGCGUACGUGGGCCGUUCAUAUUCUUUUUCUCCUUUGCCACUCAUGGCACGCACCUCUUUGCCGCCCCCGGCCUAGCUAUAUAGCUGUGUCGCGUACAAAGAUACUAGUACUUCUACGAACACACGGAUGACUUUUGGUUACUACUACACACGGAUGGCUUGGUUACAUCAGACGGUACGUGCGUAUGUGGGUACGUAUCUACGGAUCGGGGCCGAUCGAGGCCGCCGGGAUUAAUAUAGGAUAGGGGGCGGAGCUAGCUAGCACGCCUUGCAUAUGAAAGCAGAGGCGGCGAUGCCAUGCCCGCGUCCGCGCCGCGCAUUUAUAAAAAGCCUUUUCUCUUCGGAUCGGCACCCCGCUCGCGCCCGGCCGGGUGUUGCACAUGCACGCACGCAUGCAUGCUGCGUAUUUCACGCGCCCUGCUCUCCACGACUCCACUCUCCGGCUACUACGUACUCCUACUCCACGCGCGAGUCCAAGAUCG
rnacentral:lncRNA from 1 species